ACUGUCUCACUGUUAGGGUUAGGGUUGCGGCGAUUCUGAGAGUUAGGGUGGUGGCGAUUCUGAUCUUCUAAGAGGCAUGUCUCCUCAAUCAUCAGGUUUACUUCCUGUGAAGGGAAAAUCUCAGUGAAAUGAGUGGAAUCGGAAAAUUAUGUUGAAUACCCGGUGUUCUUCAAGGAAGCGAUAUGCAAUUUAAGUGAGGUAAAAAAGGUGAUCGUACAAGAGAUUGGGUUUAGGUCUCUUUUAGACAUUGACUAUACCAAUUUGAAGCGCAAACUGUGCUUUUGGUUGGUAGAACACUUUGAUCCUAGAACAUCCUGUUUCACCUUUGAAUGUGGUGGUUGAAUCCUUGUUACGCCAAGUGGCGUUGAAGAGGUGCUUGACCUACCCUUGGGAAGAGGAGAAGAUGUGCCAAGCUAUAUUAUAGAAAAUGUGAAUUGGUUAGAAAAUGGUAAUUUUGUAAAGAACGGUGCAAUAGAAGUGCAAAACUUAGUGCAUCAAUUGGACGUUCUUCCUGUUGGGGAUGCGGAUCACUUCUAUUACCCAUAUCGAAAAAUGAGACAAGCAAAAAGUUGUUGUGGGCGGUUGACGAUGUGGAUGCUGUUAAAUCGUGUAAUUGGGGGAAAUUUGUUUUAGAUUGGUUGAGAAAAGACAUUGCGUCUUAUAAAAGAAAGGAAGGAAGAGAAAGUUGAAAUACAUACAUGAAUGUUUGUUCUUUCUCAUGGUAUGUUCUAAGAUAUAAUAUUUGUAAUGUGUCUAUCAUUUUAUUUCAAAUAACUAUAAUGUCAUUAUCAUAAU